AGAAUACUUCCGGAAGAUUGGGGCAUUUAUGUGGCUUAGAUCCGCCACUGAGGCUUGAAGCCAUUUAAGUGGAUGAAGAGCUAUCAAAGUGCAUUGUGCGCUGUGAAAUGGAAUCUCUAGGUCUUCCAGCAGGAUGCUAGGGUCAAUGUCAGCCUGGAUGUUUUUCAGGCACAAUCUCCAACCAUAUAGCAAGCUGCGCUUUUUCGUUUCAAUCCUCCAGCAAGCUUAGCAUUGGAGACCGGCACGUGGGAGAAAGCGUGGAGCAGAAAACUAGACCCAGAUGAAGUCAGCAAGCGUCACGAUGUCCUUGGGGGAUUCUGCAGAGCCGGUUUCUUGGUGACUAUGAAUCAGCAGCUGACCUGAAAAUAUCCAGGUAUCGCCUAUGAAAUUGAAUGCUUCAAGGCCCUAACCUAUCUAUAUCACAUACUUGAACUCCGGUUUUCUGCAUUAUAAAAAAAUCUCUCAUUUGCAUCAAAAUACCAAAAAUAAAAAAGGAAUCAAGCUGAAA